CAUUGCAAAUUGCAAAUGUAGCUGGACUUGAAUGGCCUUCUUUUGACUGAAAGUACUGCCAAACUACACUUUUUCUGAGUUCCAUUUUCACUUUCUCACAGCCUACCGCAUUGAAGGCUCCACCAACGUAAACACCUUCCCGUAAUCAACGGCGCCGUCAUUACGUCGACCAGCGUAGCGGGCGUAGUGCAAGUGUAGGGUUAGAUUCAGAGGAAAAA